rnacentral:rRNA from 1 species
UCGAGAAUCUUCGGCAAUGGACGAAAGUCUGACCGAGCGACGCCGCGUGCGGGAUGAAGGCCUUCGGGUUGUAAACCGCUGUCGAGGGGGAUUAAGGGCAACUUGAAAGAACCCUGGAGGAAGGAGAGGCUAAGCUCGUGCCAGCAGCCGCGGUAAGACGAGCUCUCCAAACGUUAUUCGGUAUCACUGGGCUUAAAGAGUUCGUAGGCGGCUCUUCAGGUGGGGUGUGAAAGCCCUCGGCUUAACCGAGGAAUUGCGCCCCAAACCGUUGGGCUUGAGGGAUAUAGGGGUAAGCGGAACAGAUGGUGGAGCGGUGAAAUGCAUUGAUAUCAUCUGGAACACCGGUGGCGAAAGCGGCUUACUGGAUAUUUUCUGACGCUGAGGAACGAAAGCUAGGGUA